UUGAAUUGAAGAGUUUGAUCAUGGCUCAGAUUGAACGCUGGCGGCAGGCUUAACACAUGCAAGUCGAACGGUAGCAGGAGGAAGCUUGCUUUCUUGCUGACGAGUGGCGGACGGGUGAGUAAUGCUUGGGAAUCUGGCUUAUGGAGGGGGAUAACGACGGGAAACUGUCGCUAAUACUGCGUAGUGUCGAGAGACGAAAGGGUGGGACUUUUAGCCACCUGCCAUGAGAUGAGCCCAAGUGGGAUUAGGUAGUUGGUGGGGUAAAGGCCUACCAAGCCUGCGAUCUCUAGCUGGUCUGAGAGGAUGACCAGCCACACUGGAACUGAGACACGGUCCAGACUCCUACGGGAGGCAGCAGUGGGGAAUAUUGCGCAAUGGGGGGAACCCUGACGCAGCCAUGCCGCGU
rnacentral:rRNA from 1 species